rnacentral:rRNA from 1 species
UUCCGGUUGAUCCUGCCGGACCUGACUGCUAUCGGAUUGAUACUAAGCCAUGCGAGUCAUUGUAGCAAUACAAGGCAUACGGCUCAGUAACGCGUAGUCAACCUAACCUAUGGACGGGAAUAACCUCGGGAAACUGAGAAUAAUGCCCGAUAGAACAUUAUACCUGGAAUGGUUUAUGUUCCAAAUGAUUUAUCGCCGUAGGAUGGGACUGCGGCCUAUCAGUUUGUUGGUGAGGUAAUGGCCCACCAAGACUAUUACAGGUACGGGCUCUGAGAGGAGUAGCCCGGAGAUGGGUACUGAGACACGGACCCAGGCCCUAUGGGGCGCAGCAGGCGAGAAAACUUUGCAAUGUGCGAAAGCACGACAAGGUUAAUCCGAGUGAUUUCUGCUAAAGAAAUCUUUUGUUAGUCCUAGAAACACUAACGAAUAAGGGGUGGGCAAGUUCUGGUGUCAGCCGCCGCGGUAAAACCAGCACCUCAAGUGGUCAGGAUGAUUAUUGGGCCUAAAGCAUCCGUAGCCGGCUCUGUAAGUUUUCGGUUAAAUCUGUACGCUCAACGUACAGGCUGCCGGGAAUACUGCAUAGCUAGGGAGUGGGAGAAGUAGACGGUACUCGGUAGGAAGUGGUAAAAUGCUUUGAUCUAUCGAUGACCACCUGUGGCGAAGGCGGUCUACUAGAACACGUCCGACGGUGAGGGAUGAAAGCUGGGGGAGCAAACCGGAUUAGAUACCCGGGUAGUCCCAGCUGUAAACUAUGCAAACUCAGUGAUGCAUUGGCUUGUGGCCAAUGCAGUGCUGCAGGGAAGCCGUUAAGUUUGCCGCCUGGGAAGUACGUACGCAGGUAUGAAACUUAAAGGAAUUGGCGGGGGAGCACCACAAGGGGUGAAGCCUGCGGUUCAAUUGGAUUCAACGCCGGA